GUAAAUUAGAUAAAGAGGUUAUCCUCAGGUAAAUACAUUCAUUCUUUUAUAUGAAAACUGAGUGUCUGGCAGUGCUUAAGCAUUAAUGCCAUUUUUUUUUCCCUGUUGCUUAAUAGACAUACACAAUCUAUUCCUCAAUAAAAUAAUGAGCUAUAGUCAUAAUCACAGCAUUUGAAAGAGUACUCUUCCACUUCAUAAAGUUAAUAUUUAUCAACUCUACUAACGUCAUUUUUGGCAGAUUUUGUUAAAUCUAUUCUUAACAGCUGCCAUUUUUG
rnacentral:lncRNA from 1 species